AUGUGGUCGGUGUGGAAUGCACGUAAUGCUCGCUUACAUGGUGAAUCAUCAACUAAUUUAACUCAAGCAUGUAGAUGGGCAUAUGAUACUACUGCGGAUCUUAUUCAAAUUGCUACAGCAGCCAGAUCAUGUAGUAAAGUAAAAUCACAAGCUCAUUGGCAACGACCACAUCAAGGAUGUUAUAAAUUUAAUGUUGAUGCAUCUUAUAAUGCAGAUGAUAUGAAUGGAAUAUCUGGAGUUAUUAUAAGAGACGAUCAGGGGCAUAUAGUUGCAGCAAGUAGCAUAUGACAUGAUUUUGUUCCUGAUAUACUGACAGCUGAGGCACUUGCUUGCAGAGAUGGAGUACAACUGAUGAAAACCUGGGGCAUAAAGCAAGCCAUACUGGAAACAGAUUCGAUGGAGUUCACUUCACUUUGGAGGAUGAAACAUCAGCGGUCUAAAAUACUUGCCAUUAUAAAACAAAUCCAGGAGCUAACGGAAAGUUGCAACUACUUUGAUGUUCGUCAUGUUAAAAGGGAAGCAAAUGAAACUGCCCAUAAAUUAGCUAAACUGGCUUCUUGUAAUAAUCCAGAGUGUGUCUAG
rnacentral:rRNA from 1 species